rnacentral:rRNA from 1 species
AUGGCAUCAUCUCCUCUCCUGCUCCUGUUCCUCCUAGUCCUAGCCUUAGCAUGUACAUGCAGGGCAUCAUCCGGCCAUGCGGUCGAGGUCGACCCUACCUGCCCUCCAGCCAAGGCGUCAGCGGUGGCAGUGCAGGCCUCGGACUACGGCGGGCCUCAUUGCCAGCCACCGGCUCCGCACGUUCCGGUCCCGGUGUUCCUGUACGACGUCAACCCGAUGCAGUUCACGCUGAACCUUGAGUACACCGAGGCCGAGUUCUUCCUCCACGCGGCGUUCGGCAAAGGGCUUGACUAGAUCUCGCCCAACCUGACAUUGNNNNNNNNNNNNNNNNUGGGCGCCAUGAAAGCCAACCUCGACGAGGCGACAUGGCGCAUCGCCGCGGAGUUUGGUCUUUAAGAGGUCGGACACCUGAGGGCCAUCCAGAACACAGUGGGUGGGUUCCUUAGGCCAAAGAUCGACCUGAGUGCCAACAACUUUGCAAGGGUCAUGGACCAAGCAUUUGGUUACCAUUUGAACCCUCCUUUCGACCCCUACAUCCACAGCCUCAACUUCCUGCUGGCGUCCUACGUCAUCCACUACCUGGGCAUCAACGGCUACACCGGCACCAACCCCAUCGACGGCUACCAGACUAAACACUUUCUUGCAGGGUUGCUAGGCGUGGAGGUGGGACAGGACGCCGUCUUCCACGCGCUGCUCUUCGAACGCAAGCACGAGACGGUGCCACCCUACAAGGGGAUCACCGUGGCAGAGUUCACCGAUCGCGUCUCCACCACGAGAAACCAGCUGGUGAAGGUGAAGGACGAGGGGCUCACCGUGACGCCCGAGAUGCAAAAUAAAAAAGUGAAGCACAACUUGCUCUCCGCCGACAGGGACUCCCUCUCCAGCCGCCGGACGCCGGCCGAGUUGCUCAGGAUCACCGGCAACGAGCAUAUCCCUGGUGGCUUCUAGCCGGAAGGAGCAAACGGUAAGAUAGCACGAGAGUUCCUUCGCAAGCCGUUUACAGCUUGUGAUAACAAUGUGACAGCAAAUUAA